CAGAACCUACGGGACGCAGCAGUGGGGAAUAUUGGUCAAUGGCCGGAAGGCUGGACCAGCCAAGCCGCGUGAAGGACGAAGGUGCCAAGCAUUGUAAACUUCUUUUGUCAAGGGACAAAAUCAGGCUCGAGAGCCUGACCGAGGGUACUUGAAGAAAAAGCAUCGGCUAACUCCGUGCCGGCAGCCGCGGUAAUACGGAGGAUGCGAGCGUUAUCCGGAUUUAUUGGGUUUAAAGGGUGCGUAGGCGGACUGUUAAGUCAGCGGUAAAAGCCCGGGGCUCAACCCCGGCGAGCCGUUGAAACUGG
rnacentral:rRNA from 1 species